rnacentral:rRNA from 1 species
UCGAGAAUUUUUCUCAAUGGGGGAAACCCUGAAGGAGCGACGCCGCGUGGAGGAUGAAGGUCUUCGGAUUGUAAACUCCUGUCAUUUGGGAACAAUUGUUGGCGAUUAACUGUCGUCAGCUUGAUAGUACCAGAAGAGGAAGAGACGGCUAACUCUGUGCCAGCAGCCGCGGUAAUACAGAGGUCUCAAGCGUUGUUCGGAUUCAUUGGGCGUAAAGGGUGCGUAGGUGGCGGGGUAAGUCAGGUGUGAAAUCUCGGGGCUCAACCCCGAAACUGCACUUGAUACUGCCUUGCUCGAGUACUGGAGAGGAGAUUGGAAUUUACGGUGUAGCAGUGAAAUGCGUAGAUAUCGUAAGGAAGACCAGUGGCGAAGGCGAAUCUCUGGACAGUUACUGACACUGAGGCACGAAGGCCAGGGGAGCAAACGGG